rnacentral:rRNA from 1 species
GGUUAAAAAGCUCGUAGUUGGAUUUCUGCGGGAGACGAAGGGUCUACCUUACGGGUAAGUAUCUCUCAGGCUCCUGCAACCUCAACAGGAACGUCGCUGCGAUUCAUUUCGUGGUACGGUACUGUUGACUUUUACUUUGAGGAAAUUAGAGUGUUCACGGCAAGCAAACGCGUGUAUACAUUAGCAUGGAAUAAUAAUAUAGGACCUUGGAUCUAUUUUGUUGGUUUCUAGAACUAAGGUAAUGAUAAAUAGGGACAGUUUGGGGGCAUUUGUACUACGCGUCA